AACGAACGCUGGCGGCAGGCCUAAUACAUGCAAGUCGAACGAGAAAGCUCUUCGGAGUGAGUAUAGUGGCGCACGGGUGAGUAACACGUAGGUGACCUACCUUUUAGUGGGGAAUAACAGGGAGAAAUUCCUGCUAAUACCGCAUACGUUAAGUGACUUUGGAAGGAACUUAAUAAAGGGGGCUUCGGCUCCCGCUGAAAGAUGGGCCUGCGGGUCAUUAGCUUGAUGGUGGGGUAAUGGCCUACCAUGGCAACGAUGACUAGCUGGUCUGAGAGGAUGAUCAGCCACACUGGAACUGAGACACGGUCCAG
rnacentral:rRNA from 1 species